GUGCCAGCAGCCGCGGUAAUACGUAGGGCGCAAGCGUUGUCCGGAUUCACUGGGUGUAAAGGGUGCGUAGGCGGGAGAGUAAGUCCGCGGUGAAAUCUCACGGCUCAACCGUGAAACUGCCGUUGAUACUGCUUUUCUUGAGUUCGGGAGAGGUUGAUGGAAUUCCAGGUGUAGCGGUGAAAUGCGUAGAUAUCUGGAAGAACACCAGUGGCGAAGGCGGUCAACUGGCCCGAAACUGACGCUGAGGCACGAAAGCGUGGGGAGCGAACAGGAUUAGAAACCCCUGUAGUCC
rnacentral:rRNA from 1 species